AUUGAACGGCGCGGAAUGCUUUACACAUGCAAGUCGAACGGCAGCACGGAGAGCUUGCUCUCUGGUGGCGAGUGGCGAACGGGUGAGUAAUAUAUCGGAACGUGUCCAAUAAUGGGGGAUAACGAGUCGAAAGAUUCGCUAAUACCGCAUACGCCCUACGGGGGAAAGCAGGGGAUCGUAAGACCUUGCGUUAAUGGAGCGGCCGAUAUCUGAUUAGCUUGUUGGUGAGGUAAAGGCUCACCAAGGCGACGAUCAGUAGCUGGUUUGAGAGAACGACCAGCCACACUGGAACUGAGACACGGUCCAGACUCCUACGGGAGGCAGCAGUGGGGAAUUUUGGACAAUGGGGGCAACCCUGAUCCAGCCAUUCCGCGUGAGUGAAGAAGGCCUUCGGGUUGUAAAGCUCUUUCGCAAGGGAAGAAAACUUAUGAUCGAAUAAAUCAUGAGGUUGACGGUACCUUGAUAAGAAGCACCGGCUAACUACGUGCCAGCAGCCGCGGUAAUACGUAGGGUGCGAGCGUUAAUCGGAAUUACUGGGCGUAAAGCGUGCGCAGGCGGUUUUGUAAGUCGGAUGUGAAAUCCCCGGGCUCAACCUGGGAACUGCGUUCGAAACUGCAAGGCUAGAGUGUGUCAGAGGGGGGUAGAAUUCCACGUGUAGCAGUGAAAUGCGUAGAGAUGUGGAGGAAUACCAAUGGCGAAGGCAGCCCCCUGGGAUAACAC
rnacentral:rRNA from 1 species